UACGGAGGAUCCGAGCGUUAUCCGGAUUUAUUGGGUUUAAAGGGUGCGCAGGCGGGAGAUUAAGUCGGCGGUGAAAUUUUGCAGCUCAACUGUAAAAGUGCCUUCGAAACUGGUUUCCUUGAGUGUAGAAGAAGUAGGCGGAAUUUGUGGUGUAGCGGUGAAAUGCAUAGAUAUCACGAGGAACUCCGAUUGCGCAGGCAGCUUACUAAACUACUACUGACGCUCAGGCACGAAGGCGUGGGGAUCAAACAGGAUUAGAUACCCUGGUAGU
rnacentral:rRNA from 1 species